GGGGAUGUGGUGGAAAUGGGAGACACACUGGUCUUAGAAACCAGCGCCAUCGAGCAUGAGAGUUCAAAUCUCUCCAUCCCCACCA
rnacentral:tRNA from 1 species